rnacentral:rRNA from 1 species
GACGGAGGGUGCAAGCGUUGUUCGGAAUUACUGGGCGUAAAGCGCGGGCAGGUGGCCUUUUAAGUCCUUUGUGAAAUUCCGGAGCUCAACUCCGGAUGUGCAUAGGAUACUGGAAGGCUAGAGACUGGUAGAGGCGAGCGGAAUUCCUGGUGUAGCGGUGGAAUGCGUAGAUAUCAGGAGGAACACCAAUGGCGAAGGCAGAUCUCUGGGCCGUAACUGACGCUGAGGAGCGAAAGCAUGGGGAGCGAACAGG